UACGUAGGGUGCGAGCGUUGUCCGGAAUUAUUGGGCGUAAAGAGCUCGUAGGCGGUCUGUCGCGUCGGCUGUGAAAACCCGGAGCUCAACUCCGGGCCUGCAGUCGAUACGGGCAGACUGGAGUUCGGCAGGGGAGACUGGAAUUCCUGGUGUAGUGGUGAAAUGCGCAGAUAUCAGGAGGAACACCGGUGGCGAAGGCGGGUCUCUGGGCCGAUACUGACGCUGAGGAGCGAAAGCGUGGGGAGCGAACAGG
rnacentral:rRNA from 1 species